GUCUGGUCAUCAUGGAGAUUCAGAACCACAACCUAGUACAUCACAGCAGCACCUCGAAACCCCACACCUUUCCACUACAUUCCAUGACAUAGGAUGCCAGACCGAACCACCACAAAAUAUGUCAGUGGGCAUACAGUCCAGUGCUCCAAAAAUGAGAACAGUCGGCACACAGCUAUCCAUGGGUACGCUGAGGGCUUCCAUGAGAAGCAAAGGCACCCAGGCAAUGGUGCCCUGUGUUAGUGUUUACACUGAGACCACUUCAAGCUCCCCAGAAUUCACCCCGAUGUCUUCAACACCAAUGAGACCCCAAGAUUACAGACCUCGCAAGAGACGCAAGAGAGUUGGAGGAGGAGGGAGACACCUCAACAGAGU